GAGGGUAUAGCUCUGUGGUAGAGUGUGUGCUUAGCAUGCUUGGGUCCUGGGUUCAAUCCUCAGUACUUCCG
rnacentral:tRNA from 1 species